rnacentral:rRNA from 1 species
UACAGAGGUGGCAAGCGUUGUUCGGAAUUACUGGGCGUAAAGGGCGCGUAGGCGGUCUCGUAAGUCCUGUGUGAAUCCCCGGCUACAACUGGGAACUGCACAGGAGACUGCUUGGCUUGAGUUCGGGAGAGGGAAGCGGAAUCCGGGUGUAGCGGUGAAAUGCGUAGAUAUCCGGAGGAACACCGGUGGCGAAGGCGAGGUCGUCUGGCCGAGUACUGACGCUGAGAGCGAAAGCGUGGGAGCGAACGAGGA